CCGCAAGGGAUCUCAGUGAAGAUCAGCCGGCUUUUAACCGAUUGGUCCUGAGUUCGAAUCUCAGGCGACCCA
rnacentral:tRNA from 1 species